GUGACGCAAAAUGGCGCCGGGAGAUGAGAUGCGAAAAUUCACUCGCAGCUUCUUUCGAGCUUGCCCGGACCUCAGGUGCAUAGAGUCUGGGUAUUAGAGUCUGGGUUGUGAAGGGGAGGGGUUAGGCUGGAACUCUGUCAUGACACGUGUCUCUGUAGCUCGGUUACGCACGCCAUCGUGCGACAGAAAUUUUUGAUUCACGUGGGUCGGGAUCAUCUUGAACCUGAAGAGAAGCAGGCGUUGAAGCGGCUGGUGGAGGAGGAGCUGCCGAAAAUGCAGGUGUGGGUCUAACCCUGGGCCAGCAGAGACAGGGUUUGUUGCUGAGGGGUUGGGGCAGGGCAUCUUGGUUCGGUUUGCCCUCAUGCUGCACCCACAGGCGGAUGCUGGUACCAGGGAAGGAAAGCCAGACUUUAUCAAAGUGAAGAGGUCUCCUGCUCCCUGCAGUGACCCAAAGAAGAAAAGGUUCCGCUUUAAUUCAGAGUCAGGUUAGUGCCUUCUUCCCUGUUUAUCUGUCUGUGACUCCAGCAUCAUUGGUUUCUUCAAAAGGCGAGGCGCAUGUAUUAAUUGCAAGGCUGGGGCUUGGGGGACAGUGAGUCAGGAACCAGCUGGGGCCACAGCUGUGGUGCUUCUUGCUGCCCUUCACUCUUAACCAGAGUAGAUCUAGAAGCAUCCUAUUCUAGAUGGAAGGAGAGGGAGGAAUCCAUCCAGUCCCAUCCCCAUGUUUCAGAAUCCAGCUCUUCACCAUCCAGUCCAGAUGGCUCAGGACCCUCAACAAAGAACAGGACAACCAAGAAGACAUGUCUAAGAAGAGCCUUAAAGAAAGCAGUUGAGAGCACAGAUGAAGACCACCAAACAGACCUGGAUGCAAAGAUGGGAUUGGAGGAGAGCAGUGAGGGGGAAGCAGAGGGCUCUGUUAGAUCAGGUAAGGUCACCGAGGAAGAGGAGGACAUGAAACAAGAACAG
rnacentral:lncRNA from 1 species